UACGAAGGGGGCUAGCGUUGCUCGGAAUUACUGGGCGUAAAGGGCGCGUAGGCGGCGCUGCAAGUCAGGCGUGAAAUUCCUGGGCUUAACCUGGGGGCUGCGCUUGAGACUGUGGUGCUAGAGGACGGAAGAGGCUCGUGGAAUUCCCAGUGUAGAGGUGAAAUUCGUAGAUAUUGGGAAGAACACUGGUGGCGAAGGCGGCGAGCUGGUCCGUUACUGACGCUGAGGCGCGACAGCGUGGGGAGCAAACAGG
rnacentral:rRNA from 1 species